GAAGAAUGUGCAGCUAGGUGUCAAGCAGUGUCUUCUGUAAUGACUCAUUUCUUCCCUAUGUCAAAUUAGUCUUAAAUAAAUUCUCAAAGGUGUUUCAUGUUACUAUACUUUUGAUGCAGGUUAAAUAUCCUAUUUAUGAUCAAACAGUGUACCUUAACGAUUAUCAUAAGAAGAUGUUGAAGGAUCAAUAUGUUCAAGCUCUGCAAGGUGAGGUCUGUUCAGUUUGGCUAGAAAGGCAUCCCCUACCUGAACACCUACGACGGCCGCACCAUCCGCUACCCCGACCCGCUCAUCAAGGCCAACGACACCAUCAAGAUCGAUCUGGAGACCAACAA